rnacentral:rRNA from 1 species
CGAGAGGGAAAGAACCCAGACUAUCUGCUAAGGCCCCCAAAUGUAUGCUAAGUUGAUCAAACGUGGUGCGGUUGCACAGACAGCUAGGAUGUUGGCUUGGAAGCAGCCAUUCAUUUAAAGAGUGCGUAACAGCUCACUAGUCGAGCGGUCCGGCGUGGAUAAUAAUCGGGCAUAAGUAUACUACCGAAGCAAUGGACAGAAAUGUGGUAGGGGAGCAUUCUAGUUGCGCCGAAGGUGAACUGUGAGGUUUGCUGGAGCGGCUAGAAAAGAAAAUGUAGGAAUAAGUAACGAUAAAGGGGGCGAGAAACCCCCUCACCGAUAGACUAAGGUUUCCUGAACAACGCUAAUCGGUUCAGGGUUAGUCGGGACCUAAGGCGAACCCGAAUGGGGUAGUCGAUGGACAACAGGU